UUCCGGAUUAGCUCAGCGGUAGAGUAGGCGGCUGUUAACCGCUUGGUCGCUGGUUCGAAUCCAGCAUCCGGAGCCAC
rnacentral:tRNA from 1 species